CUCAGCCCGCGCGGGGCCCCCGAUUGGCGGCCUAGCCCCGUUACGCACUCGCCUCGCGUUCACAUACCCGGGGAGGGCAGUAGAAAGGUGAUCAAUCUUCAUCAGGCUACAUUUCCAAUCACCUAAACAACCGAGCAAGACAAGCCACUCCGACAAGGUAAAUCGCUUGAUUUAUUUAGUUUGCAAAGUGACUCUGCAGGACUUCCCAGUCCCCACUGCCUCCACGUUGCACCGGGAGUGCCGCGGCAACGCCGAGCCACCUCCCAACUCUGCCCCUCGAAUUCCCCCCUUGCGGCCCCUCGGCGCGAUCCCAGGCUAGGCAAUGUCCUGAGAACGUGUGGGGCUUAGCAAACAAAGUGUCUGUGCAAUAAAGUGAAACCCAGAGGGACACGCACAAAGCCACUGAAAAAAAGAUAGAGGUGGGAAGAAGGAAGUUGGGAAAAGAAAGAAACACGGGGUCCUAGACCAGCCGCCAGGGUAAUUCCAGUGCCGCUCUAUUUUGCAGGUUGGCUGCCCGGCGGGUCUCUGUGAGAGAUCCAGGUAGAUGGUGAACGGCCCCGGCAGCUGAGGGCAGGCCAGGCCCCCAGACGCAUCAGACCCUGAAGGACUGCGCGGUGGGAGCCCUGCACCGCUCCUGGCCCCGGGCCCCCUGGAUCCGUCGGGGCGCCUCCACCCAGCUGUUAGCAUGAUGUCUUACCUCAAACAACCCCCAUACGGCAUGAACGGGCUGGGCCUGGCCGGGCCCGCCAUGGACCUCCUGCACCCAUCCGUGGGCUAUCCGGGUGAGCACCAGCCCUCCCGACCCUGCCUCAGCCUCUCAAAUGUUGGGGACCCCCAGACUGUUGGGUUUGAGUGCAAGCUUUGUUGCUGAGCAGGCCCAGGGAGCCGGCUGCAAUACAGGGCCCACUGUCUGUUUACAAUACAGGGCCCACUGCCGGCGCACGGGGCAGAGUCGUGGGCGUGUGAGGUGGCCAGGGCUGAGAAAACGCGCAAUGUGCGCCUUCCCGGCCGGGUCACUGGCAACCUUUCUCCUGUUGUGGUCCCACCGCCAGCGCAGAGCUCAUUUACCUGCGGAUUCGCUAUCCAGGGGCGGCUAGUGUUUUUCCUUUUUCCCCAACAUGGAAUGAGUAAUCUGGACACUCGUUCGGCCCUGACAGAAAGAGCCAAACUUUCCUUAUGCGAAGCGGCAGGCUGCACUGAAGGAGUAUUCUUCCUCCCUAAUUAAAUUGUCCUCUAAAUCG
rnacentral:sRNA from 1 species